UUUUAGUCAACCAUAUCAGAGGAGCAAUAACUCUAAGGAAAUGCUAGAUGCCUAGCUUCAACUCUCUACUUACUGUAGAAAUCGUAUUGUGACACUUCACAAGUCACACAGACAUGCCCUGAAGUCGAACUCAUAUUACAGAACUUGGCCUCUAUGCCGUGUUCUUUUAUCCUUCUCUCUGUUUCUGAACUAUUCUACGCUUUUGCUGUGCCACUCUGAUCUUUGCCUGC
rnacentral:lncRNA from 1 species